rnacentral:lncRNA from 1 species
AGGAACCAGGGGUAAUUGGGUCAGGGGUCUCUGAGCCGAGUGUGAAUCGGGCUGGCCUGCCUGGACUCUGAACAUGGGGAAGGCCAGCUUCAUUUCCGCCUGAGCCAGAUGUGAGGAUGGCCGAAGUAAAUGCCUCUUGGUCAGCAGCAGCCGGCGCAUUGGUAAACGGCAUUGUCACCGCUUGAACAGAGGAAUUCUCAGCAGAGCACUUUCCCAGGGGAGGUGCCGUCUGAGCUGCCGCAUCAGGAAGGGUGAGGGAAGAACAGAGCGGUGCCCAUGAGAAAAACCAGCAAAAAUGUGUGUUCCCGAGGCAGGACUGUCCACUGCUACCCACAUCAGGAGAAGAAAUCGUCCUGGGUGUACGGCCAGAGAAGGCCACUGAGCGGGCCCAGAUUGGCCUG